rnacentral:ncRNA from 1 species
CUGGUUGAUCCUGCCAGUAGUCAUAUGCUUGUCUCAAAGAUUAAGCCAUGCAUGUCUAAGUAUAAACAAAUUCUAUACUGUGAAACUGCGAAUGGCUCAUUAAAUCAGUUAUGAUCUACAUGACAAUUCAUUACUACUUGGAUAACCGUGGUAAUUCUAGAGCUAAUACAUGCAACAAAAGCCUCGACUUCGGAAGGGGUGCACUUAUUAGGUAAAAGCCAACCUGGUGUUAAAGCCAGUUUUUUGGUGAUUCAUAAUAAUUCAAUGCUGAUCGCAUGGCCUUGUGCUGGCGACGGUUCAUUCGAUUUUCUGCCCUAUCAGGUUAAGAUUGUAAGAUAGAGGCUUACAUUGCCUACCACGGGUAACGGGGAAUUAGGGUUCGAUUCCGGAGAGGGAGCCUGAGAAACGGCUACCACAUCCAAGGAAGGCAGCAGGCGCGCAAAUUACCCAAUCCCAAUUCGGGGAGGUAGUGACAAUAAAUAACAAUGCAGGGCCUUUUAGGUCUUGCAAUUGGAAUGAGUACAAUUUAAAUCCCUUAACGAGGAUCUAUUGGAGGGCAAGUCUGGUGCCAGCAGCCGCGGUAAUUCCAGCUCCAAGAGCGUAUAUUAAAGUUGUUGCAGUUAAAACGUCCGUAGUCGAAUAGUAGCUUUUGGCUAGGUGACUUGAUCUUCAUUGGUCUAGUUCGCUUUAGUCAUGGCUCUCACGUUUGGUACUGUCUGGUUGGCUUCGGUCGGUUAGAUAUAAGGCCAAACAAAUUACCAUGAGCAAAUCAGAGUGUUUAAAGCAGGCUAUAAGCCUGAAUGUGUUAGCAUGGAAUAAUGAAAUAAGACGUGGCUCUAUAUUUCGUUGGUUUUAAGAGACCAUUGUAAUGAUGAAUAGGAACGGUUGGGGGGAUUUGUAUUUGGUCGCUAGAGGUGAAAUUCUUGGAUUGACCGAAGACAAACUACUGCGAAGGCAUUUCACCCAGGACGUUUUCAUUGAUCAGGGUCGAAAGUUAGGGGAUCGAAGACGAUUAGAUACCGUCGUAGUCUUAACAGCAAACUAUGCCGACUAGAGGUUGGAUAAGUACAUUAUGGCUUAUUCAGAAUCUUAGCGAAAGCAAANNNNNNNNNNNNNN